UCCCUGGUGGUUCAGUGGUUAGGACCCUGUGCUUUCACUGCUGGGGGCCUGGGUUCAAUUCCCGGUCAAGGAA
rnacentral:tRNA from 1 species